GUGCAGGGUUGUUUUUGCAAAAAUAUUUUAAAAAUUGCAUCACUACUCAACCAGAACUGCUCACGUAAUGAGGACGAAAAGAGAUUAGUUGGAAAGCACAUUACGACAUGUGAUUUAGAAACUAUUUAACACUUUUAGCAUUUGAAAAGCUAGGUUUAAAUGAGUGCUGUAUGCCAACCUACUACACUCGAGAGGAUGUGUUCGUUCACUAGAUGAUGUCACCUUUUAAGUUAGGCUUCCUUCUACAAGAUCAAUGGAACCCUCCCCC